rnacentral:rRNA from 1 species
CCUACGGGAGGCAGCAGUGAGGAAUAUUGGUCAAUGGGCGAGAGCCUGAACCAGCCAAGUAGCGUGCAGGAUGACUGCCCUAUGGGUUGUAAACUGCUUUUAUAGGGGAAUAAAGUGAGGAACGUGUUCCUUUUUGUAUGUACCCUAUGAAUAAGGACCGGCUAAUUCCGUGCCAGCAGCCGCGGUAAU